CCCACCCUUUGGGUUCUGCACCUAAUAGCAACUGGUAUCUAAGGUUUCGUGUUUCGCCAUGGCUUGCAAGGUUGCCUCCAUAUUUGCAUCCAUCCUAAUAUUGUCGGUCCUCGUCAUGUCUUGCGAUGCAGCUGGUUUAUCCUGCCCAACUGUAAGAGCGCCGAAUCCGACCUGCCUGAGCCCUCAAAUUUGUGCUAAUCAGUGUGUAGCAGCUGGUUAUUUGAUUGGAUUCUGUGAGUUUUAUGGUAGUCGAUUGGGUGACUGCGUGUGCACCAAAUGCACAAAUGCUGUGCAAGCCGGCCGUCCUCCUACUAUUGCUCCUACUCCUGCAGUGAGAAGGUUGAUUCUGUGAGAAAAAUACAUGGCAUCAUCAAUUUGUGAUGGAUACACCAUGGGAAUAAAUUAACUUGUGUGUUGACGAUUGCUGAAUUUGUUGAAUCGAGUUGUUUUCUUGA